rnacentral:lncRNA from 1 species
GGUGAUGAUGGUGAUGAAGAUGAAGGUGAGGAGGGGGAGGAAGGUGAUGAUGGUGACGAAGAUGAAGGUGAGGAGGAGGAGGACGGUGGUGGUGGUGACGACGAAGAGGAAGAUGAGGAAAACGGUGAGGAAGAGGAGGAAGAAGAGGAGGAGGAAGAUGACAACGGUGGUGACAAAAGGGAGGAGGAGGAGGAAGGUGAGGAGGAGGAGGAGGAAGAGGAAGGCAACGGUGAUGAUGAGGAGGAUGAGGAUGGUGGCGGUGAGGAUGAAGAGCGCGAGGACCAUGGGGGCUCUUCACAGUGGUGACGGAUGAUGAUGAUGAUGAUGAAGACGGCUCUUCCAACCAUGAUGAUGAUGAUGAUGAAGAUGGCUCUUCCAACUGUGACGAUGAUGAUGAUGACGACGAUGACAAUGGGGGCUCUUCAUCACGGUGACGAUGACGACGGCUCUUCCAACGUUGACGAUGACGGGGUUCUUCCAAAGAUGACGACGACGACGAUGAUGAAGACGACAAUGAUGAUGACGACGAUGAUGAUGACGAAAAUGACAAUGGGGGCUCUUCAUCACGGUGACGAUGACGACGGGGCUCUUCCGGCGGUGACAAUAAUGGCGGGCUCUUCAUCACGUUGACUUUAACGAUCACGACGAUGACGACGGAGCUCUUCCACCGGUGACGAUGACGAUGACGGGGCUCUUCCAACGUUGACAAUGAUGAUGACGACAACGAUGACAAUGGGGGUUCUUCAUCAC